rnacentral:rRNA from 1 species
UGGGGAAUCUUGGACAAUGGGGGCAACCCUGAUCCAGCCAUGCCGCGUGAGUGAUGAAGGCCUUAGGGUCGUAAAGCUCUUUCGCCUGUGAAGAUAAUGACGGUAGCAGGUAAAGAAACCCCGGCUAACUCCGUGCCAGCAGCCGCGGUAAUACGGAGGGGGUUAGCGUUGUUCGGAAUUACUGGGCGUAAAGCGCACGUAGGCGGACCAGAAAGUUGGGGGUGAAAUCCCGGGGGCUCAACCCCGGAACUGCCUCCAAAACUAUUGGUCUAGAGUUCGAGAGAGGUGAGUGGAAUUCCAAGUGUAGAGGUGAAAUUCGUAGAUAUUUGGAGGAACACCAGUGGCGAAGGCGGCUCACUGGCUCGAUACUGACGCUGAGGUGCGAAAGUGUGGGGAGCAAAACAGGAUUAGAUACCCUGGUAGUCCACACCGUAAAACGAUGAAUGCCAGUCGUCGGGGUAGCAUGCUAUUCGGUGACACACCUAACGGAUUAAGCAUUCCGCCUGGGGAGUACGGUCGCAAGAUUAAAA